rnacentral:tRNA from 1 species
UGCUUGGGUAGCUCAGAUGGUAGAGCACUUGCCCUCAAAAGGCAAAGGUCCCGAGUUCGAGUCUCGGUCCGGCAU